rnacentral:rRNA from 1 species
CGGCCGCAAGGCUAAAACUCAAAGGAAUUGACGGGGGCCCGCACAAGCGGCGGAGCAUGUGGAUUAAUUCGAUGCAACGCGAAGAACCUUACCUGGGUUUGACAUGCACCAGACGGUUGUAGAGAUACGUACCUCCCUUUGUGGUUGGUGUGCAGGUGGUGCAUGGUUGUCGUCAGCUCGUGUCGUGAGAUGUUGGGUUAAGUCCCGCAACGAGCGCAACCCUUGUCUUAUGUUGCCAGCACUUUGGGUGGGGACUCAUGAGAGACUGCCGGGGUUAACUCGGAGGAAGGUGGGGAUGACGUCAAAUCAUCAUGCCCUUUAUGCCCAGGGCUUCACACAUGCUACAAUGGUUAGUACAACGCGCGGCAAACCUGUGAGGGUGAGCGAAUCGCUGAAAGCUAAUCUCAGUUCGGAUUGGGGUCUGCAACUCGACCCCAUGAAGUCGGAGUCGCUAGUAAUCGCAGAUCAGCAAUGCUGCGGUGAAUACGUUCCCGGGCCUUGUACACACCGCCCGUCACGUCAUGAAAGUUGGUAACACCCGAAGCCCAUGGCC